UGCGUAGGCGGCGUCAUAAGUCAGGGGUGAAAGCCCACAGCUCAACUGUGGAAUUGCCUUUGAUACUGUGGUGCUUGAAUCAGGUUGAGGUAGGCGGAAUGUGGCAUGUAGCGGUGAAAUGCUUAGAUAUGCCAUAGAACACCGAUUGCGAAGGCAGCUUACUGGACCUGCAUUGACGCUGAGGCACGAAAGCGUGGGGGGCGAACAGGAUUAGAUACCCUGGUAGUCC
rnacentral:rRNA from 1 species